GUGGUUAUGUCAAGCUCUAAUCAGUUCAAGAAUAGAUUAGACAAACAUUUGGAAAACUGAAUAAUGUUCAAUAAAAGGUUUUAUUACAUUCAAUUAUAUUGUUUCUAUCUACAAUACUGGAUGGUUAGUCCCACAGAGCGCACCUGCUGAACUUGAUACAAACUAAUUUACAGCCAUUGCAAAUAUUUCUUCUCAAAAAUCAAGUUUUUGAAAUAACUUGUUGUAAAUAAUCUUGUAUGUAAAU